rnacentral:rRNA from 1 species
ACGCUCGACACCUACGGGAGGCAGCAGUGGGGAAUAUUGCACAAUGGGGGAAACCCUGAUGCAGCGACGCCGCGUGAGCGAAGAAGUAUUUCGGUAUGUAAAGCUCUAUCAGCAGGGAANAAACUGACGGUACCUGACUAAGAAGCACCGGCUAAAUACGUGCCUGCAGCCGGCGGUAAUCUGAGCGGGCUGGCAAGGC